UACGUAGGGGGCAAGUGUUAAUCGGAAUUACUGGGCGUAAAGGGUGCGUAGGCGGUUCGUUAAGUCUGUCGUGAAAUCCCCGGGCUCAACCUGGGAAUGGCGAUGGAUACUGGCGAGCUAGAGUGUGUCAGAGGAUGGUGGAAUUCCCGGUGUAGCGGUGAAAUGCGUAGAGAUCGGGAGGAACACCUGUGGCGAAGGCGGCCGACUGGGCCGACCCUGACGCUGAGGCGCGAAGGCGUGGGGAGCGAACGGG
rnacentral:rRNA from 1 species